rnacentral:rRNA from 1 species
UACAGAGGUCCCAAGCGUUGUUCGGAUUCACUGGGCGUAAAGGGUGCGUAGGUGGUGAGGUAAGUCUGAUGUGAAAUCUCCGAGCUCAACUCGGAAAUGGCAUUGGAAACUACUUGGCUAGAGGAGUGGAGGGGGGACUGGAAUUCUCGGUGUAGCAGUGAAAUGCGUAGAGAUCGAGAGGAACACCAGUGGCGAAGGCGGCUCACUGGACUGGUACUGACGCUGAGGCGCGAAAGCGUGGGGAGCAAACAGG